rnacentral:tRNA from 2 species
GCCUCCGUAGCUCAGGGGAUAGAGCACAGCUCUCCUAAAGCUGGUGUCGCAGGUUCGAAUCCUGCCGGGGGCACCA